GCAGUCGCUAGCCAGUGUGUGACAUUCAACACUCAGCUAGAGAGUUGCCAUUUCUGUUCCGUUUCCUUUUUGACCUAAAAGAAGACAACUCUUGCAGCCCUGGGGUUAUAUUUUAAGUGUUAGUUAUCUCCCACCAUUCCUGAAGUCCUAUGCAUGAACUGCCCAGCAUACUUGCCUUUUGGAGUUGCCACGAGAACAGGAGGGAUGGUUUACAUACUGUGAGGAGAGGUGGGUGGUGUGAACAGGAGGGAUGGUUUACAUACUGUGAGGAGAGGUGGGUGGUGUGAACAGGAGGGAUGGUUUACAUACUGUGAGGAGAGGUGGGUGGUGUGAACAGGAGGGAUGGUUUACAUACUGUGAGGAGAGGUGGGUGGUGUGAACAGGAGGGAUGGUUUACAUACUGUGAGGAGAGGUGGGUGGUGUGAACGGGAGGGAUGGUUUACAUACUGUGAGGAGAGAUGGGUGGUGUGAACAGGAGGGAUGGUUUACAUACUGUGAGGAGAGAUGGGUGGUGUGAACAGGAGGGAUGGUUUACAUACUGUGAGGAGAGUUGGGUGGUGUGAACAGGAGGGAUGGUUUACAUACUGUGAGGAGAGGUGGGUGGUGUGAACAGGAGGGAUGGUUUACAUACUGUGAGGAGAGGUGGGUGGUGUGAACAGGAGGGAUGGUUUACAUACUGUGAGGAGAGAUGGGUGGUGUGAACAGGAGGGAUGGUUUACAUACUGUGAGGAGAGGUGGGUGGUGUGAACGGGAGGGAUGGUUUACAUACUGUGAGGAGAGGUGGGUGGUGUGAACCGGAUGGAUGGUUUACAUACUGUGAGGAGAGAUGGGUGGUGUGAACAAGAUGGAUGGUUUACAUACUGUGAGGAGAGAUGGGUGGUGUGAACAGGAGCGAUGGUUUACAUACUGUG